GCCGGGCAUGGUGGUGCAUUCCUGUAAUCCCAGCUAUGUGGGAGGCUUAGGCAGGAGGAUCACUUGAGCCCAGGAGGCUGAGGCUGCAGUGAGCCAUGAUAGUGCCACUGCACUCCAGCCUGAGCAACACAGCAAGACCCUGUCUUAA
rnacentral:sRNA from 13 species